UAUAAUUUUUCUUGUUAUGUUCUAGUAUUGCAAAAUCGCAUGCCAAACACAUGAACUACCUGUGUGCAAUAAUCCACAUGGUAAUUUUUAUGGUAUCGGUUACGUUCGCAUUUUUCAUAUCAUCGAUCACCCUGACAACUUUUUUCCGGCAACAAUUGCUCCCCGUUGCGGUCUUAUGUGGAAUAUUAUUGAUUUGGCUAGCAGUCUGUUUUAUUGCAGAAAUGUUUCACAAAAUGAAUGAAGUCAUUGCUUCGGAAAUUUAUGACAGCCCUUGGUAUCUAUUGGAACCAAAAGAUCGUCGACUCGUUCACACAUAUUUGACCAUCAUUCAGCAACCAAUUUCCAUCGCUAUUUACGGAUUUUAUCCGCUGAAGUUGGGCUCAUUCCCGGAUACGUUGAAUACAAUUUACUCGCAAGUUCAAAUUCUGCGCACCCUUCAACUCAAAAAGUAGAAGCAUUUAUAAUUGACUUAUUUUGAAAACAUGAAAAUGCGGAUGUCGCACUAAUUUUAAUUAGAUACUGUACUCAACGCCUAUCUUUAAGUUGAGCACUUAUUUUCAAUUAGUUAUCCUUAUUACUUACGUAAGUUUUAUCAUUUAUCACCUAUCAAGAGUGUAUGUUUGAAUUACAAUGCACUGAUUUUGCAAUUUUUCAUAUGCAGCACAUUCUUAAGAAAAUUCGUCAUAAAUAGA